GCCACCCUUCGGUGAGGCACCCCCCGCCGCAGCCAGCCGCCCGCCCCAGGCAGGGACACCGCUCGGCCGCCGCGGCCCGGCCGCCCCCGGAGGCGGCAGCGCCCCAGAGCCCCGUCCCUCGCUGGGACCGCCGCGGGAGCGGGGGGCGCCCCCACGGUGGAGGAGGGGGGAGGGACGCCCCUCAGCCCCGCUCCCACGGACGGCGCCCCAGCGCACACCUACCGCGGGGACCCGCCGCUCCCGCGCCGCCUGAGGCAGAGGCGGCCGCCCGCGCCCGCCAGACGCAGGCGCGGGCGGCAGGGCGGGAGCGGCGCCAGCGAUAGAAGGGCGUCGGGAGAGCGCGUUAACGCAGGCGCGGUGGCCAAGUGAGGCGUUUUUCUUCACACCACCUUCCUUGGGGCCUAAUCCCGCACUUAGAGACCCUCGUGCUCAACCUGAAGAAACAAAAGUAGAAGGUAGUUUCACACGUGGGGGCCGAAGAUGCCAGCCGGCGCCCAGGGCCAGCCCUGCCACCUGCGCCUGCUACCGGCGGCCCCGAAGCACGUGCUGGCGCCCACCGCGACGGGCCCGCUCCUGUGAGGAGCAAAUGGCGCCGCUACAAACUGCUGUUUGAAGAGAUGUUCUCCGCAGGCUGCAGCUACCGAGGUCAUCCCGGUUCUUCUCACUGGUCAUCCCUGGGCCCCCAAAAUUCAUUUAAUUAGCUAUUAAUCUCGUUCUGUCUUCUGGUUAGUAAAACAUGAGGUUUCUUCAGCUGUAUCCCCAACCACUUAGAAGGAUUAUUUGCAAUCUAGUUAGUAUUCACUCUACAUUUCCUAUUUUUGUAAACUGAAGAACCACCUUUCACAGUGAGAGCGGGCAAGGGAAGGUGGGGCUGGGUACGCCAGGAGAUGCGCAGUGCUCGCCUGUCUCCACGCACAGGCAGGCACCCGGCAGGGCUCCAGGCACAGCUGGUCCGGCACAAUCGCAAGCAGGCCGCAAAGUCCGACUCGGACACUGACGGGAGCAGCCACGAAACCAGCACAGACAGUUAAGGGCUGACGGCGCUUGAAAGCACCCUAGUGAUGUAAGUAGUAACAACACUACAAGCUGAAGGAAAUCUUUAUUGAUUCAUGUCUGGUGUUUGCUUACCAUUUGAAGUUUUGCUGACCUUUGGUUAGUCCACACAGUCAGUUUUGUUUUCCUCCUGAUAAAUCUUCCUCUCGUAUUCUGCACCACUGUUGUCUAGAAUCAAAACUGUACAAUUCCUGUAUGAACAAAAAUAACUGUCAUUAACUAUUUACCCUAAAUUUUGUGAAAUCUUUUAAAAUAAAAUACAUAUUGUGUUGGUAGGUCAAAAUCAUCA